UGCCUCACACAUCUGAUUUACUGUCAAAAUAUAACCACACAUCUCUAAUACAGUAUUCUUCUAUUGCACAUGAAGUUUAUAAAAUCCCAAAAUACAUUUUGUCCAAUAUCCAUUCCUAGCCCAAGCAUCUUCAGCCUUGCUCAGAUGAUGCCUUGAGUCAACCAGAGUCUUGAGCUUUCCUUCAUCAACUUAACAAGGUAGUCCAGAUUCUCACCUUUGGGAUUUAUGAUCAAUUGCACCAGCUCUUUCCUGGAAGCUGAGUCUCUGCAGAACAGAAGUGAUCAAGGUACUUGGGCCGGAAGUAAGGGCCGUAGUUUCAGGGCAUCAUGAGGUAAGGCACAUUCUUUUGUAUUUUGUCUUGAGCUCCAUUGGAGUCUCUGUUGGAUUUCAGGGGACCCUCUGAACUGAAUUGCAAGUUUACUGCAGCAAUACUCGAAAUGUUUUCCUUGUGCAGUCGAUUGUUUUAAUGAUAGAUAGAGAUGGCUUCUAUUAGAUCUCUCAUUGCAGUUAGUGAGGUUCUAAAUAGACCUCAGACAAAUGCACAUUGUUGUUGUCAUCCGUAAAGAUUUUCCGGGGUUAAUAAGGGAGCUGCUGAUUAGAAAGAGCAAAAUGAGCCCGGAUUUGUGGAAAGAACUGAGUUUAUAAAAUCCCAAUAUUUUUACUCUAACUCUAAGUCUCCACAAUGAUCUUCCCAAUAGCAUAGCCAUCAGUUUUCCUAGCCCAAGCAUCUUCAGCCUUGCUCAGAUGGUGCCUUGAGUCAACCAAAGUCUUGAGCUUUCCUUCCUUCAUGAACUCAACAAGAUAGUCCAGAUUCUCACCUUCGGGAUUUAUGAUCAAUGGCACCAGCUGUUUCCUGGAGAAGCUGAGUCUCUGUAGAACAAUAGUGAUCCAGGUACUUGGCCUGGAAGUAAGGUCUAUAACCUUCCCAGUUGCUCUCAAAUUCGGCUCAAAAGUCGACCAAGGAAUGCCUGCUGAUGCACAGUGGAUCACAACAUCAUAUUUUCGACCGGAUGGGCUCUUGAGAGCAGCCCCAUCAGGGGUCUUGUAGUCAAGAACCUCAUCUGCCCCUAGGCUCUUGACAAUGUCAACGUUACGAGCACCGCAAGUGGCGGUAACAUGAGUGUUUCCAAGCUUGGCUAGCUGGACUACAUAGUGCCCGACGCCACCAGAGGCGCCGGUGAUCAGUAUGUUCUUGAGCAGGCCAGUUCCAUCAAGCUUGAUCCCUGCAGCUUUGGUGAGAGCCUGGUGAGCUGUGAGGCCGGAACUAGGCAAGCCUGCGCCUUCAGCUGCUGAAACUUCUGGGGGCCUAGCAGAAGUUAUAAAUGUCUCACUAGCUAUGGCAAACUCAGCUAAUCCACCUCCAUUCUGUCAAUAUGUGUAAAAUCACAUCAAACACAAACUGAGGCUUUCUUGAUGGUAUAUAUGUCAGUAAAAAACAUAUGAAUUUAUAUAUUUGAAACUUACUAUAAAGUUGAGCAUUGCCACAA